rnacentral:rRNA from 1 species
AUUGAACGCUGGCGGCAUGCUUUACACAUGCAAGUCGAACGGCAGCGCGGGCUUCGGCCUGGCGGCGAGUGGCGAACGGGUGAGUAAUGCAUCGGAACGUGCCCCGUAGUGGGGGAUAGCCCGGCGAAAGCCGGAUUAAUACCGCAUACGACCUGAGGGUGAAAGCGGGGGAGCGAAAGGCCUCGCGCUAUUGGAGCGGUCGAUGUCGGAUUAGCUAGUUGGUGGGGUAAAGGCUUACCAAGGCGACGAUCCGUAGCUGGUCUGAGAGGACGACCAGCCACACUGGGACUGAGACACGGCCCAGACUCCUACGGGAGGCAGCAGUGGGGAAUUUUGGACAAUGGGGGCAACCCUGAUCCAGCCAUGCCGCGUGCGGGAAGAAGGCCUUCGGGUUGUAAACCGCUUUUGUUCGGGAAGAAAUCCUCUGGGCUAAUACCCCGGGGGGAUGACGGUACCGGAAGAAUAAGCACCGGCUAACUACGUG